rnacentral:rRNA from 1 species
CGACAACUGACGUUGAGGCACGAAAGUGUGGGUAGCAAACAGGAUUAGAUACCCUGGUAGUCCACACUGUAAACGAUGGAUACUAGGUGUAGGGUGUAUUAAACGCUCUGUGCCGCCGCAAACGCAUUAAGUAUCCCACCUGGGGAGUACGACCGCAAGGUUGAAACUCAAAGGAAUUGACGGGGGCCCGCACAAGCAGUGGAGUAUGUGGUUUAAUUCGAUGCAACGCGAAGAACCUUACCAGGGCUUGACAUAUACAGGAAUAAUUAAGAGAUUAAUUAGUUCUUCGGAACUUGUAUACAGGUGGUGCAUGGUUGUCGUCAGCUCGUGUCGUGAGAUGUUGGGUUAAGUCCCGCAACGAGCGCAACCCCUAUGUUUAGUUGCCAGCAUGUAAAGAUGGGAACUCUAGACAGACUGCCGGUGAUAAAUCGGAGGAAGGUGGGGAUGACGUCAAAUCAUCAUGCCCUUUAUGUCCUGGGCUACACACGUACUACAAUGGCCGUGACAGAGAGAAGCAAUAUAGUGAUAUGGAGCCAAACUCAAAAAGCGGUCUCAGUUCGGAUUGAAGGCUGAAAUUCGCCUUCAUGAAGCCGGAAUUGC